rnacentral:lncRNA from 1 species
GUGUGUGUGCACAUUUAUAAGGCUCUCUUGGUGUGAUGGUUUUACAUGAGGGAUGGCUCAAACAUAGUAUAUAUAUAUACACACCUUCUUCCCACUCUUACAGCCAUGGCAGACAUCACUAACCAACUGUCACUUUCCUACCAAGCCCAAAUGUGGCCUCAUACUUCUCAACACUACAGACAGCCCUGAACAAUUGAUAAGAGCACCUGUUAAAUGAAGCCUACCUUUCAUCCUUGCAUUUAAACUUUUGAAUCAUAGAGACACAAGGGAUGCAAGCACACAGAGGAAAGAUCAUGUGAGGACACAGCAAGAAGGUGGCCAUCUGCAAGCAAAGGAGAAAGGCCCAGGAGCUGACACCUGGAUCAUGGACUUCCAGCAUCCAAAACUGUGAGAAACCAGACUUCUGUUAUUUAAACCACCUAGUUUGUGGUAUUUUGUUAUGGUAGCCCAGCAAUCUUGUUAAGGUGAUUAUACAAACCCCACAAAAAAUUGUUACCUCUCCAAGUCCCCAGCUAUGCCAAUUGAAUGCUCUGACCACUACAUAGCACUUUCUGAUUUGACUUUGCUCUUUGGGUCUAGAGACAAUGGAUUAAGAGCCUUAAAUUUUGUAGUCCCUGACACCACCAUUUUGUAACUCCUCCCC